rnacentral:snRNA from 1 species
GUGCUCGCUUUGCAGUACAUGUACUAAAAUUAGAAUGAUACAGAAAGAUUAGCAUGGCACCAGCACAAGUAUGACAUGCAAAUUCGUGAAGUGUUCCAUAUUUUG